rnacentral:rRNA from 1 species
AGAGUUUGAUCCUGGCUCAGAUUGAACGCUGGCGGCAUGCUUUACACAUGCAAGUCGAACGGCAGCACGGGGGCAACCCUGGUGGCGAGUGGCGAACGGGUGAGUAAUACAUCGGAACGUAUCCUUGAGUGGGGGAUAACGCAGCGAAAGUUGUGCUAAUACCGCAUGAGCUCUGAGGAGGAAAGUGGGGGACCGUAAGGCCUCACGCUGAAGGGGCGGCCGAUGUCCGAUUAGCUAGUUGGUGAGGUAAAGGCUCACCAAGGCUUCGAUCGGUAGCUGGUCUGAGAGGAUGAUCAGCCACACUGGGACUGAGACACGGCCCAGACUCCUACGGGAGGCAGCAGUGGGGAAUUUUGGACAAUGGGGGCAACCCUGAUCCAGCCAUGCCGCGUGAGUGAAGAAGGCCUUCGGGUUGUAAAGCUCUUUCGUGAGGGAAGAAACGGCCAUAGUGAAUAGCUGUGGUUACUGACGGUACCUCAAGAAGAUGCACUGGCUAACUACGUGCCAGCAGCCGCGGU